rfam:Pan troglodytes isolate Yerkes chimp pedigree #C0471 (Clint) chromosome 17, whole genome shotgun sequence.
GCCAGGCGUGGUGGCGCGUGCCUGUAAUCCCAGCUACUUGGGAGGCUGAGGCAGAAGAAUCGCUUGAACCCAGGAGGCAGAGGUUGCAGUGAGCCGAGACCAUGCCACUGCACUCCAGCCUGGGUGACAGAGUGAGAUUCCGUUUCAA